rnacentral:rRNA from 1 species
UCCGUAGGCGGGCAAUUAAGUCAGAGGUGAAAUCCCACAGCUCAACUGUGGAACUGCCUUUGAUUCUGGUUGUCUUGAGUUAUAGUGAAGUAGAUAGAAUAUGUAGUGUAGCGGUGAAAUGCAUAGAUAUUACAUAGAAUACCGAUUGCGAAGGCAGUCUACUAACUGUAUACUGACGCUAAUGGACGAAAGCGUGGGGAGCGAACAGGAUUAGAUACCCUGGUAGUCC